rnacentral:lncRNA from 1 species
GUGAAGGCAAUCUUUGCCCAUUUCAGCACGAUAAGUAUAAACCUUUCUAAGAAUGACCUUUCUCAGAAGCUUGACAGGGGACAACCUAACGGCAUGCGUCAGUAUGUCAGAGUAGCUGUGGGAUGGGCGCUACAGUAUAAGGCCAAGAAAUGUUUUUAAAUGAAAGAAAGAAUCAUUUCAUGGAGUGAAGUCAGGAAUGCCUUCCAAAGUGUGUAGGUUUUGCAGCCCAUUAGAAUUGCAAAGCAGUCCUCAUUUGAAAGAAGAGUGAAAUAAAGUUCUAUUUGAAAAAAUAAGUCAAUAUUUACACAACGUUAAGCGUGUUAAGGGUGAGUUGCAGUCACCCACAUUAAAGAGGACCAUUGUGCUAGAAGAAUGUGUUUCCGUGUUCUAUAGAAGAUGGCUAUUCACGUCUCUGCCUUCUAAUUGGCUGCAGUGCUUCCCAAACCCUUUGCCAUGCUCCUGUCACUACCACAAGCUCCACACUUCACAGGCAAGGAGAAAAAACACAGAUGACAAUAGGAAUGUUAAAACAUCCGUCUUAGUGGGAAAUGCACAUCAGAAUGAACGUGGAAAUAAAAGGUUCUAAAAUCCAGAAUUUAAAUAAUCCUCGCAUUUCUCUCUCCUCUUGUGUUUUUGUCUAUUUUUGCCCUGUAGUGGUCAGUCCAGAGCACAGCAUCCAAUAGAAAGUAUAACCUGUCUAUUUCCCUGCAAGCUCAUUCAGGAAGAAAGGAAGCCAAACUGUUUGUGAUUCUCAAUUUAGCUGCCUCGCUGUAGAAAAAACCAUUUCUAAAAAACAUGUCAGUCAGAGACACAUUAGGGAAAAAAAGAAGUAAUGCAUAAAUCUGGUGCCUGAAAAUAUCCUGCAGGGCUGCACUGAUAAAGCAAACCAUUUAAUGUCUAAUCUGCUGAUAGUUGAUUUCCUUAUUGCUGUAACUGAAUAACUGUCAAUGAAUAAUGUCAUGAUUUCAAUUCUUCAAGCUUAAUGCUUUGACAACAAAUCACAUUGCUGGCAACAACAUAUUAGUCUGCAAACAUGAAAAUGGCAAAUUAGAAAUGGGA